AACGCACAUUGCGCCCCCUGGUAUUCCGGGGGGCAUGCCUGUCCGAGCGUCAUUGCAACCCUCAAGCGCGGCUUGUGUGUUGGGUCUCGUCCCCCGUGGACGGGCCCGAAAGGCAGUGGCGGCGUCCCGACAUGGUGCCCGAGCGUAUGGGAACUCUCUUCCGCUCGAACAGGCCCGGUCGGCGCUGGUCGAACCCUCUAAUUUUUUACCGGUUGACCUCGGAUCAGGUAGGGAUACCCGCUGAACUUAA
rnacentral:misc_RNA from 1 species